AUCUCCAGCAUGUGUGCAUUCUUCCUUUCUUCAAAACACCAAACAAAGUGGCUGUCAUUAGCCUACCUAACUAUUUUUGUGCAUCAUUGUCGGUUGCAUCGUGAAAGUCAGUUUGAGUCUGUUAUGGUGUUGCAAUUAUGUAGGCAAAGCUUUUUCCCAGUUGUUUCAUGGUAGCUAGCGCUAGCUCUGAUUGUGCAGGUCCAGCUGAUUUAGCAGGUUUGGGUAAUCAAAACAGUUGCCCCGGUUGCCUGUAGACGGCCAGUAUUAGAGUUGAACUAUGUGUAUCGAAAAGCCGUGGGUCGCGUUCCUCUGUCUUUGUGCAAACAACAGAUGUGUGGGCAUGAGCACCAUGUAAAUAAGGAGCGGAGUGCAUGCAUUAGGGAUGGUGAAGUGGAAAUGCCCUGCCUGGCGUUACACGAGUCUCAUACGCACAUUGUAAGAACCAGUCAGUCAGACCUCCAGUAGGUCGUAAACAUAAUUAUCAGCCUUUAUGUUGGCUAUAGCACUGUAGUGUAUUUGAAGUGCCACUACCAGGACAGGCAACCAACCACAACGAUGAUGCGAAGUUUCCUUAUGUAUGUAUUUUAAAGAUACUCUCGUAAGAAAUGUUUCUUUAUUAUUAUUAACCUGAAGAGCAUAGUUCUAAUGGAUGUCCAAUUAGCAUUGGGGGAAUACCUACUUAUCAAUCCAUGUUUGACGUGGGAACAGCAAGUCGCAUUGUGUUAUACUAGAUACCCUGGAUUGGUCACAAAUAUCACUCUCGAAAUAGCUGAAAUGUUGAAAACCGCAGGAUUAUUGCCUUUAUUACAACUGAGUUGAAAGACUGAAAGUGCUGUUUUAUGGUUAAAUCUCUUAACAAAAAAGCAUUUGUAUUUAUAUACAAUGGUAAUUCAAAUUGUGCUUUUCUUGUUUAUGGUUUACAGCAUAUCAAAAACAUGGCAAGAGGAGGGUUCAAAAAGUCAUGCCCUGCAUGUCAGGCAAACAUCUUUAAUGGCUGUAAAGUAUGCCCCAUGUGCAAGGCACCACAGCCACAAAAACUGAGGCUUAAAAAAAAACUUGAAAAGUUUAAAAAAGAAAAAGAUACUUGGGUGGCCAACACAAAGAAAAACCAGAUCACCUCGCACCUAAUGGAUGAUGCUGUCAUUCUGAUGGAGAAGCUGAAUGCAGUGGGGUGGAAGCCCAUCCUCCUUCUGGAAUAUCCGAAGAAGGAGGCAAGGAUGCUCCUCCCAGAAGGGCUCGUUCCAAGUGUGGGGGAAAAGAAAUGUCUGGAUGACAUUGAAGAAAUGUACACCUUCAUGAUUGAAGUCCGUUACCCAAGACCCACCACAACAACAAGCUCUUUCAGAAACUCUCCUUUCAGCCAGCCCUACCACCACCACCACCACCACCACCAUUGAGGGCCCAGAGACUGGGGUUAAACCUGAGACGGUGGAGACUGCCCUGUCCGCCAGCCCUGCCACCAACAACAACAGGGGGACGGGGACUGGCAACAAACGAAAGAGACGCCCAAGUACAAAAGUGGACACUCUCCCGACAACAAGCCCUGCCACCACCAACAGGGGGACAGAGACUGGCAACAAACGAAAGAGACACCCAAGCACAAAAGUGAAGACGGUUCUGUCCACAAGCCCCAACACCACCACCAACGGGGGGCGAGAGACUGAGACAGUGGAGACUGUCCUGUCAGCCAGCCCUGCCACCACCAACAACGACUGGCAAAAUACAAAACAGACGCCCAAGGAAACGCAACCAAUUCCACCCCUCCCCCCACCUAGACUGCACAGUUGUACUUAAAAAGGACUUGACUAUGUUUUCUUAAAAAUGUGUUUUUUAUACUGUGUUUUAUUCUGUAUUUAUACUAUUCCUUGUGUGACUGUUUGUGUGAGCAUUGUUUUAGAGGCUGCAUAAACAGAUUUCAUUGUAUGGUUUUAUUGCACAAUGACAAUAAAGAAUAAACAUACCGCUAUUUGCUUAUGUCAAACAGUUUCUAAAGAGGAAAGGAUUGCCCCCACAACAGCCAGAAGGUGCAUCAGUACAGACACAUAAUCAUACAAAGAAAGAUACGGUUAUUUUCAUGCACAAUAAAAUAAGUUCAAAAUUCUUACACUUUUUUCCCCACUCGAUAAGACACACGAGAUUACUCACCCCUAAAUUAUUGGAUGGGUACAUUAUGGGUUUGUGGGAAUUGGUGGAAGAGUGUUGUCUGGGGUGAGUAAGUUAUUUAAUUUAUACAGAAAUGGAGUUCUGUUCAUAAUGUCCUGCUCACCAUAAUAUGAGUCAACUCGAUCGUUGAAGCGGUGAUCUGUGUGUGGGCCACGGAAUAUGAGUGUCAUCAACUUGCAUUGGAGCAAAAUCUGUGGCAGCUUCACUGACAAUUUACGUGA